rnacentral:rRNA from 1 species
UACAGAGGUCUCAAGCGUUGUUCGGAUUUACUGGGCGUAAAGAGCGCGCAGGCGGUCGUUCAAGUCGCGUGUGAAAGCCCCCGGCUCAACUGGGGAGGGUCACGCGAUACUGAUCGACUCGAAGGCAGGAGAGGGAAGUGGAAUUCCCGGUGUAGUGGUGAAAUGCGUAGAUAUCGGGAGGAACACCAGUGGCGAAGGCGACUUCCUGGCCUGUUCUUGACGCUGAGGCGCGAAAGCUAGGGGAGCAAACGGG